UACGUAGGUGGCGAGCGUUAUCCGGGUUUACUGGGUGUAAAGGGUGUGUAGGCGGGAUUGCAAGUCAGAUGUGAAAAUCACGGGCUCAACUCGUGACCUGCAUUUGAAACUGUGAUUCUUGAGAGUCGGAGAGGUAACUGGAAUUCCUGGUGUAGCGGUGAAAUGCGUAGAUAUCAGAAGGAACACCGGUGGCGAAGGCGGGUUACUGGACGAUUACUGACGCUGAGACACGAAAGCGUGGGGGGCAAAC
rnacentral:rRNA from 1 species